AUUGAACGCUGGCGGCAGGCCUAACACAUGCAAGUCGAACGAGUGGCGGACGGGUGAGUAAUGUCUGGGAAACUGCCCGAUGGAGGGGGAUAACUACUGGAAAAGGUACAUAAUACCGCAUACCAUCUGAUGUGCCCAGAUGGGAUUAGCGAGUUGGUGGGGUAACGGCUCAACAAGGCGACGAACCCUAGCUGGUCUGCGAGGAUGACCAGCAACAGUGGACAUGAGACACGGUCUAUACGCCGACGGGAGGCAGCAGUGGGGAAUAUUGCAAAAGGGGCGCAAGCCUGAUGCAGCCAUGCCGCGUGUAUGAAGAAGGCCUUCGGGUGGUAAAGUACGUUAAGCGGGGAGGCGUUACCCGCAGAAGAAGCACCGGCUAACUCCGUGCCAGCAGCCGCGGUAAUUC
rnacentral:rRNA from 1 species